UACGGAGGGUGCAAGCGUUAUCCGGAUUCACUGGGUUUAAAGGGUGCGUAGGUGGGCAAGUAAGUCAGUGGUGAAAUCUCCGGGCUUAACCCGGAAACUGCCAUUGAUACUAUUUGCCUUGAAUACUGUGGAGGUCAGCGGAAUAUGUCAUGUAGCGGUGAAAUGCUUAGAUAUGACAUAGAACACCAAUUGCGAAGGCAGCUCGCUACACAUAUAUUGACUCUGAGGCACGAAAGCGUGGGGAUCAAACAGG
rnacentral:rRNA from 1 species